GAAGACAAUGAAGUAUACCAUUUCAGGUUAGGUAAACUUUAUAGUUUACAGAGACUUAUGAGAAUGCACAAAUUGAUAUACAAGUGACAAACUUUACCAAAUUGAAUAUGAAGUAUACAAUUUUAUGUUAAGUAAACCUCAUAGUUUACAGAGACUUAUAUAUAAAUGAGAAUACACACAUUGAUAUACAAGUGACAAACUUCACCAAAUUGAAUAUGAAGUAUACAAUUUCAGGUUAGGUUUUAAAACUUCAUAGCUUACAGAGACACAUGCAAUAUAUGUACCAGACA
rnacentral:lncRNA from 1 species